UGCCAGGCGAUCAUAAGCAGCAAUUCUGAACGGCUUCCCGAUAUCAACAUCUACCAGCUGAAGGUGCUCGACUGCGCCAUGGAUGCCUGCAUCAACCUCGGCCUGUUGGAGGAAGCCUUGUUCUAUGGUACUCGGACCAUGGAGCCAUACAGGCUUUUGAUAUUAUGAGAGUGACACAUGGCAGAGAACACAGCCUGAUUGAAGAUUUGAUUCUACUUUUAGAAGAAUGCGACGCCAACAUCAGAGCAUCCUAAGGGAACGCAGUCAGAGGGAAAGAUGGCGUGUGUCUUUGUUGAAUGCCUUAUUGAGGUCACACACUCUAUACUUUGUUAGCUGUGUGAACCUCUCCUAUUGGAAAUUCUGUUCUGUGUUUGUGUAGGUAAAUAAAGGCAGACAUGGUUUGCAAACCACAAGAAUCAUUAGUUGUAGAGAAGCACAAUUAUAAUAAAUUCAAAACAUUUGGUUG
rnacentral:sRNA from 1 species